rnacentral:rRNA from 1 species
CCUACGGGAGGCAGCAGUGAGGAAUAUUGGUCAAUGGACGCAAGUCUGAACCAGCCAUGCCGCGUGCAGGAUGACGGCUCUAUGAGUUGUAAACUGCUUUUGUACGAGGGUAAACCUGGAUACGUGUAUCGGGCUGAAAGUACCGUACGAAUAAGGAUCGGCUAACUCCGUGCCAGCAGCCGCGGUAAUACGGAGGAUCCGAGCGUUAUCCGGAUUUAUUGGGUUUAAAGGGUGCGUAGGCGGUUUGAUAAGUUAGAGGUGAAAUGUCGGGGCUCAACCCCGGAACUGCCUCUAAUACUGUUGGACUAGAGAAUAGUUGCGGUAGGCGGAAUGUAUGGUGUAGCGGUGAAAUGCUUAGAGAUCAUACAGAACACCGAUUGCGAAGGCAGCUUACCAAUCUAUAUCUGACGUUGAGGCACGAAAGCGUGGGGAGCAAACAGGAUUAGAUACCCGAGUAGUC